rnacentral:rRNA from 1 species
UACCUGCGCCACAAAUGGUGAUCACUAUUAUUGGGUCUAGAGCGUCCGUAGCCGGUUUAGCAAGUUCCUGGUGAAAUCUGGCAGCAAACUGUCAGGCGUGCUGGGAAUACUAUUAAACUUGAGAUUGGGAGAGGUCAGAGGUAGUCCAUGUGUAGGGGUUAAAUCCUUUAAUCCAUGGAGGACCACCGGUGGCGAAGGCGUCUGACUGGAACAAGUCUGACGGUGAGGGACGAAAGCGUGGGGAGCAAAACGG